rnacentral:lncRNA from 1 species
GAAGACAGUAUCUGGAAGAACUCUUUUUCGAGCCUGGACAUACCGAUCUGCAUCAGUUUCUGUGCAAGAACAAGCUUGGAAGAUUGAGAGUGUUGAGAGACAAGAAAGUGCAUGGCUCUGCGUAAGUCACGGACGCAUCUGAUGAAUUCUUUGGCUUCUUUUCUGCUGUGACUAAACAGAGAGAUGAUCUUUGUGUAGGAGGGUGAAUUGGGAUCCCAUUUCUUGAUGAUUGAUUCCGCGGCUUCCACGGUUUCCUCCAUCAUCGACUGAGAAGAAGUCUGAUUGAGAGGAGAAGCAGGGAGAGAAGUGAAUGUAGAAAGAGAAGAAAGGAGUGAUUUAGG